UAAUUUCAUUGAAGGCUUCUACUCUGAGCCAGAAACUAAACUAGAAUCAAUACUCAUACUUUGGGUUUAGAAUCACACAAAUACUAUUGGCUUCUUUUUCAGGAUAAAUCUGGAACCUAUAAACCUGUCUGGUCUUUCUGUCCUGGAUCUGUGAUGAGAAAUGGAUCAUGGACAAUAUGAAGAGGAAAUGGAUCUCAUUUUUGGACAAGAUAUACACAAAAGAGCCAUUGCACAGUGCCAAAGAAGCACAAAGCUAACUUCAUAAUUCCAAUUGAGCACAAGGUAAAAGAGACCAACCAAUCCUGGUGGGACUAAUGUAACUUUGAGCCUAGACAAAGAGGACUUGAACAUGUUUGGGGUUUGAGGUUGAGGCUGUUUAACAUGUAUUAAAGGCAGGUCUUCUUUGUUCCACAUUCUACCAAGUAUCUCAAACUUGUCUCCUACUUGGCUCCUAUAAUAUGGUCCCUUUUCUGCCUUUAAUAGUGUGGUACCUUUCUGUAGUCCUGGCUACUGACUGGGUAAAUGCAUCAUUGCUUGGAUCAUUUUAAUUGGGCCCUGAUUCAAGGACCUGUUAUAGAUUUAUUUUUCCUUUACUUAGAAUUUUUACACAUAAGAAUUUGAUUGUCUAUAUUUUCAUCCAGUAUUUUCUUUUUUAUUUGGAUUUUUCUGAUAUCUUUUUAAUUUCUCUUGCUAAUUGAUUCAUAUACCUCAUACCUCAGCCACACAUCCCUAAGUGAUCCUGUAUUUUUCAAUCACCCUCUUAAUGGGGGAAUGUAAAAAAUAUUAUUAUUUAAAUUGCAAAGUUUAAAUUCAUUUUGAGAAGAAUUUUCGGUAAAGAAAGAUGCAACCUCUCUGAAUCCAGAAACUGAACUGUUGAAGAUACCAUGAAGAAGCCUCCCGACCACAAGUGCACAAAAAUGAACUUUGGGUGUGGUUGAUUGAACAUUUAUUUGUAUAUAUACUUUCAUGUCAAAGGGGACUGCUCCCUAACUGACUUUUUGUCAGUGCGACCAGCAAUUAUUGUUUUUGUUUUGUUUUUUCCUCUUAUCCUCAAACUAUUGUAAUCUUUAAAUUGAUUAUGUUUUUAUGAUCCUUUGGGGAAGUCCUUCUUCCUAGAGGAUCAAAUGGAGGGAUGUAAAAAUGGAGACUUGAAUCCAGGACUUCAAUCCCCAGAAGUCCUUGCUCCACUUCCCCAGAAUGCUUUGUAAUCUCACUGAAUUCUCACCUGGGCUGAGAGCAAAUUAUGAUUUAAAGGGUCUCCACCAUAGGCGGGUUCUUCUUCUCUUCCUGUCUCCACUGGCAAGCAGACGUCGCUCAUGAAGUGAGUGAAAUUGAAUUGAGCCUUUCGAUCCACCUAGCACAUGCCUUUCUUACUUGUAUUUUCUUUAAAUUCUCAACCUUAAAUAAACCUCUAAAAAUAUAA